rnacentral:rRNA from 1 species
GGGGGGUGCGAGCGUUGUCCGGAAUCACUGGGCGUAAAGGGCGCGUAGGUGGUCUGAUAAGGGUGUGGGGAAAGCCCGGGGCUCAACCCCGGGUCUGCCGUGCCGACUGUCAGACUGGAGUGCUGUAGGGGCAGGCGGAAUUCCGGGUGUAGCGGUGGAAUGCGUAGAGAUCCGGAGGAAGACCGGUGGCGAAGGCGGCCUGCUGGGCAGUUACUGACACUGAGGCGCGACAGCGUGGGGAGCAAACAGGAUUAGAUACCCUGGUAGUCCACGCCGUAAACGAUGGGUACUAGGUGCCUGGGGGAGCGACCCCUUGGGUGCCGGCGCUAACGCAGGAAGUACCCCGCCUGGGGAGUACGGCCGCAAGGCUG